rnacentral:rRNA from 1 species
AACGAACGCUGGCGGCAUGCCUAACACAUGCAAGUCGAACGAGACCUUCGGGUCUAGUGGCGCACGGGUGCGUAACGCGUGGGAACCUGCCCUUAGGUUCGGAAUAACUCCCCGAAAGGGGUGCUAAUACCGGAUAAUGUCUUCGGACCAAAGAUUUAUCGCCUUUGGAUGGGCCCGCGUUGGAUUAGCUAGUUGGUAGGGUAAAAGCCUACCAAGGCGACGAUCCAUAGCUGGUCUGAGAGGAUGAUCAGCCACACUGAGACUGAGACACGGCCCAGACCUCGACGGGGAGGAGGAGGGGGGGAAUGUGGAAAAAGGGGAAAAGGCUGGACCAAACAUGGCGGGGGGAGUAAAAAAGCCUUAGGGGUUGAAAACUUUUUUAACCGGGGCGAAAAAGGAAAGUGCGGGAAAAAAAGCCCCGGGCAACCUCGGUC